AUUUGAAGUUGCAUAAGCAUCAUAGCUUAGUGCACGAUACGGCUGCCGGAGUUUGGUGCGACACAAAGUCAGUUGUCACAUCUCCCACGGCAGGGAAGAUAUAGUGCGGAUGCAGCCGAAGGUCGUGCUGGCCACCACUCCGUCCUGCUAUUACCUCCCCAACCUGCUGCUGCCAGUGAGUUACCUCUCCUCCUGCUCCUCCAGACAUCGAUGAAGAGAAGGUUUCGCAGGGUCAUGGACCUCGUCCAAAACGCCAUGCGGCCUACAAUUCCGUGAUGACCCUCAGUAUUCUUGGGACCACAAGCAUGUUCAACUCGUACCAUACAUGACCCUUCUCCACUUGCAAGUUUUGGCCUUGUUCUGGCACGGUAACACUGCUUGAAGCCGUCAGCCAGGCUUUUAUUUUGCCCCCCUCCUCCAGUUGGUUGUAACUACGCGGUGAAGUGCAUGUGGAGGAGGAAAAUGAUUGAGGAACUUCAUUUUAUCAUGUGUAUAAAUAAUAGUGGUUAGGUAUUAGAUGGUGAUACUGACAUUUUGUAUGUUACAACAUGUACCCAUGGAUUGUAAUUGUAAGAGAAGAUGAAAUUCAAUCUAGUGAGGUGUACUAGGGCAGUAAACAUAGACAUAUUCUUGUAGUGCUACCGAAAAAUAACCUGGUAGCACUAAAUUCUGAGAAGAUGUAUCUGAAAUUCUGAAUUGGUUUCUAGUACACUAUAUAUGUCUGAUGAGUUGAGAUGGAGUUGGCUAUAA